CUCGCAAUGGCUGGGAGAAGGCAAAGCCCCCGACAACAUUAGCAUCGGAGAGCCUGCGGCUCUUCUGGGCUGUCGCUGUUUUCAGCUGCAGAUCCUGUUCUCCUCACCUGAUUGUCCCUCAUUACCUUCACCUGGUCCUCACGCCCUUCUCACCUGUCUCUGAUCACCUCGUUAGUCCCUCAUUCCCUUCACCUGGUCCUCACGCCCUUCUCACCUGCCUCUGAUCACCUCGUUAGUCCCUCGUUCUCUUCACCUGGUCCUCACGCCCUUCUCACCUGCAGCCCAUCCCCUCAUUAGUCCCUCACUAUUUAGCUCCCUCACUUCCACUUGUCCUCUGCCAGAUUGUCUUGUGUGUCACUGGCAAACCUUCCAGCGUUAUUAGAGUUUAUUCCUGACCCGCCUGUUACGACCCUGUUUGCCUGUUAACCCGACUCAAGAUUUUGCCUGCCCCUUUUUUGGAUUUGUUGCCCUGUUGGACUGACUACCUGGUUUUGACCCUGCCUGAAACAUACAGUAAACUGCCUCCUCCUG